AGCUCCAAUAGCGUAUAUUAAAGUUGCUGCAGUUAAAAAGCUCGUAGUUGCAUUUCCGAGGCAAGGGAUUAGUCCGACCUUUGGUGGGUAUUUAAUCCUCUUGCCUCGUCCUUGAGUGGUGCUUCUUGGUAUUAAGUUAUCGAGGAGAUAGCCGCUCAUCGUUUACUGUGAGAAAAUUAGAGUGUUCAAAGCAGGCUUAUGCCGUUGAAUAUAUUAGCAUGGAAUAAUAAGAUAGGACCUCGGUACUAUGUUGUUGGUUUGAGAACCAAGGUAAUGAUGAAUAGGGACAGUUGGGGGUAUUCGUAUUCAGGUGUCAGAGGUGAAAUUCUUAGAUUUACGGAAGACGAACUACUGCGAAAGCAUUUACCAAGGAUGUUUUCA
rnacentral:rRNA from 1 species